ensembl:lncRNA
CGACAGGUUCCCAGCAACGCUCUGUUUGAACUUCGGUUGGAGGGUAGUGAAUGGAUAUCCAACGUCAAAAAUGACAUUUCAUCAUGGAGAGCUGUGACUCGGGUGGAACUGAGGAACCGGUCCGACACCGGCAAAGCCAACACAUCACCUCAGACCACCAUCCUACCAGCUGUGGGAGUUCCUUCAAACUGUCAGAGAGAUUUCAGCCUGUUGAUGUUUGACCCUGAUGGAGACGAAGUUAAAUGCAGAUAUGGAAACUCUGCACUCUCAGAGUGUAACCCCUGCACUCCACCGUCUGUCCUCAGCCUCUCAUCGUCGUCUUGUACUCUGUCAUUCAGCCCCACCAGCAGCAGUAAUGAAGGUUCGUAUGUAGUACAGCUGGUGAUGGAGGACUUCCCCAGACAGACCAUCACUCUGACUCAAACCAACGGGACACAAACAACAAUAACUACCAACGAUGCCAUCAGCAAAAUACCGAUUCAGUUUGCUUUGAAAGUUGAUCCUGCAGUGCCAUCCUGCACAGAAGGACUCUUUCUGCCCAAGUUUCUUCCUCCAACACCAGCCAACGGAGCUCAGCUCUACAACAAUGUCAGUCAGACUCUGGAAAUUCACAUCACUGCAGAGGCACUUAACUCCACGGUCUCUGAGCUGCUCUACAGCGGGCCGUACAAUUUAAUCAGCAGUCCAUCAGGACCAGGACAGUUCACCCUGAGAUGGACACCAUCUGAAAGCGAAGAAGGACAAAGCCUCCCCAUCUGUUUUGCUGUCCAGGCAGUUUCUCGGUGUUUAUGGGUGUGUGCAUGAUGGUGAUGGGUGUGGCCCUGCCAGCUGACUGGUCACACCCAGGAAUCCACACACACCUGGCGCCGAUCAAGCCUCGGCAGGGGAGCUUCAAGACACUGUGGCUGAGAGCUCCUUGACGCUGGACCGUUGAGUGACUUCCCGAGGAAUUGAGGCGACCAGGAGGCAGCACAGGGACAGUACACAGGGAACGGAGACAGAGCAC